CAAGGAAAUUAUUUAUCAGUAAGUUCCACACCCACCCCAAGCUCCACAGUGCUUCGUCAAUGCUUACCUCGUGUUAGACCAGCAUCUCGUCUGUUCUCC
rnacentral:misc_RNA from 1 species